rnacentral:lncRNA from 1 species
GUCCCUGCCGUGCCCUCAGGGCUGCGCCCUGGCUGAGGUGAGAGGACGUGUCCCAGCCACCCCGUGCCGCCUGGCUGUGACCUGAGCUGGCGUUAGGCCUUGAGGUGGCGCUGUGAGGGGAUGCGGUGCUGUACUGGGCUGUGCGGCCAUAGCGUGAGGCGGCGCCAUGUUGUCGGGGGGCGCCAUGUCGUGAGGCGGCGCCACGUUGUCCGGGGACGCCAUGAGAUGGUGCCGCGUUGUGAGGUGAGUGUGAGGCGAUGUUGUGUUGUGAGGCUGCGCCGCGUUGUGGGGUGACUCUCUGAGGCAACACCGUGUUGUGAGGGGUCACCACGUUGUGGGGUGACGCCGUGUCGUGAGGCGGCGCCAUGUUGUCGGGGGACCCCAUGUCGUGAGGCGGCGCCACGUUGUCGCGGGACGCCAUGAGGUGAUGCCACGUUGUGAGGUGAGUGUGAGGCGAUGUUGUGUUGUGAGGCUGCGCCGUGUUGUGGGGUGACUGCGAGGCAGCACCACGUUGUCGGGGGACGCCAUGUCGUGAGGCGGCGCCACGUUGUCGCGGGACGCCAUGAGAUGGUGCUGCGUUGUGAGGUGAGUGUGAGGCGAUGUUAUGUUAUGAGGCUGCGCCGUGUUGUGGGGUGACUCUGUGAGGCAGCACCGUGUUGUGAGGGGUCACCACAUUGUGGGGUGACGCCAUGUUGUGGAGCGAUGCUGUGGGGGGACGCUGUGAGGCGGUGCCAUGUUGUGAAGAGGUGCUGCAAAACUUCUUACAUGAGCAGCAAAGGAUUCUUUUGCCAUGUUACUGCCAAAGCUAUCUAUCUGCUCUUUAAAACAGCAGGGCAGUGGCAUGGGCUGCCCUGGGCCUUGCAGCCCAGCGCACACCUCCAGGCUCCCAAACCCUGCGGGUGCUCUCUCCUAUGGCUGCCCGUUCCCACUACACCUCUCCCUGACGGUGGGGCUCCACCAGCACGAGGCUCCCAAGCAGUGUUCCCCUCCUACCAAGUCUUUUCAUGGCGCUAUGUUUGCUUGCGAGCUCCCCGAAACACAGCCGGCAGAGAAGGCUCCCCCUUCUCCCACAGUGUCUCUGGAUCUCUCAAAUGAGAAAUAAAGCCAUUUGUUUCUAAUUAUAUUUGGCAGUCACACAGAGAAUUUAGGACUAAAGCACGCUAUUUUCUUGCUCCUGAUUAAAGCACUUGACCUCAAAAGCAAAAGGCAGAGAUUUCAACACACACCC